rnacentral:rRNA from 1 species
CCUACGGGUGGCAGCAGUGGGGAAUAUUGCACAAUGGGGGCAACCCUGAUGCAGCGACGCCGCGUGAGUGAAGAAGUCUUUCGGUAUGGAAAGCUCUAUCAGCAGGGGAGAAAAUGACGGUACCUGAUUAAUAAGCCCCGUCUAACUACGUUCCAGCAGCCUCGGUAAUACGUAGGGGGCAAGCGUUAUCCGGAUUUACUGGGUGUAAAGGGAGCGUAGACGGCAGCACAAGUCUGGAGUGAAAUGCCGCGGCUUAACCCCGGAACUGCUUUGGAAACUGUGAAGCUAGAGUGCAGGAGAGGUAAGUGGAAUUCGUAGUGUAGCGGUGAAAUGCGUAGAUAUUAGGAGGAACACCAGUGGCGAAGGCGGCUUACUGGACUGCCACUGACGUUGAGGCUCGAAAGCGUGGGGAGCAAACAGGAUUAGAUACCCGAGUAGUC